AUGCUUCUGUUUUUCCACCUAAAGGGGAGAGUUCUCGCCCUUCCCCUUUCCCUACGAAUCAUUGUGCUGACCCUCAGGGGGCUGGGCUCCUCUAUUCAUUGCAAUAACAUCCCAGACCCCCGGGCCCCUCCCCAGGCUCAAAGGGCAGGGGCAGAGGGGAUCGACUGGCAGCAGAGACUUCCCAGCGGUUGUCAGUUUUGGGCCAUUGCCCAUCUUGCCCUGUGGGACCAUUUUGAGUCCAUCUGCCCCUCCCCUACAGCUGCCGCACUCCCCCCCCCCCCCAGCCAUGCACUGCGCAGGCAUUACACUGUGACCCCUCGGCAUAUCCCCCCCACCCUCACCAACAGCCAGCGGCUGGGCCUGGGCCCUCCCCUCCCGUCGUUGUCAGUAAAAUUGUUUGGGGCGACUCUGACUCGGCCUCUUCUUAUACCUCCUGUGGUAGCAGGGGGCUUCUCCGGCUGGCAGCCCGCUUCUCCCGGCCCCCUCCUCGGGGCUCCCACCCUGGGGGUGGGCUCUGAGAAUCCGUGGGGGUCUCAGGCUCCUUCUCCAGCCUCAGCAUGCUCUCAGGCUUGCUGCACCCCCCGUUUCCCCAGCACGGAAAGGACGCCCACCCACGUUCACAAAAGCACCCUCCGACCGGGUCCGCCGGAUGGCACCUCCUUCCGAGAGCCCGCGCUGCACUGUCUUGUGGGGAGGAAGGCACAGCCCAGAGUCAGCCAAGGCAGAUCACCCCCACCUCCCCUAUCCCCACGCCCAUACCCUCUCCGAAUCUCUCCCACGGGCUACAUUUGUUUCCCCAGGCUGGCUGCCUUUGAGCAAAGAGGGAUCCAGGGGAGGGGGCCGCAUCAGGUGGGGUGGAUGGUCCGCUCUGGGUCACCGAGGAAGAGCCGGAGCCAGAGUAGGGAAAGUCAGAGGGGAUGGGGUGAGAUGAGCCAUGCUGGGUCACUAAAGGGAGGGCUGGCGACGGAGAGGGGAAGAGCGAGGGACAUGGGAUGGUCCGGGCCGGGCCCCUGGGGGAGUCGGAUGUGUCGGACGACCCGCUCUGGGUCACUGAGGGAGAGUCAGUAA
rnacentral:lncRNA from 1 species